AGAGUUGUAUCCUGGCUCAGAUUGAACGCUGGCGGCAUGCCUAACACAUGCAAGUCGAACGGCAGCACGGGGGCAACCCUGGUGGCGAGUGGCGGACGGGUGAGGAAUGCAUAGGAAUCUGCCCAGUUGUGGGGGAUAACGUAGGGAAACUUACGCUAAUACCGCAUACGACCUUCGGGUGAAAGAGGGGGACCUUCGGGCCUCUCGCGAUUGGAUGAGCCUAUGCCGGAUUAGCUAGUUGGCGGGGUAAGAGCCCACCAAGGCGACGAUCCGUAGCUGGUCUGAGAGGAUGAUCAGCCACACUGGAACUGAGACACGGUCCAGACUCCUACGGGAGGCAGCAGUGGGGAAUAUUGGACAAUGGGCGCAAGCCUGAUCCAGCAAUGCCGCGUGUGUGAAGAAGGCCUUCGGGUUGUAAAGCACUUUUGUUUGGGAAGAAAUCCGGUUGGUUAAUACCUGAUCGGGAUGACGGUACCAAAAGAAUAAGCACCGGCUAACUUCGUGCCAGCAGCCGCGGUAAUACGAAGGGUGCAAGCGUUAAUCGGAAUUACUGGGCGUAAAGCGUGCGUAGGUGGUUUGUUAAGUCAGAUGUGAAAGCCCUGGGCUCAACCUGGGAACUGCAUUUGAUACUGGCAGGCUAGAGUGCGGUAGAG
rnacentral:rRNA from 1 species